rnacentral:lncRNA from 10 species
UUUCCUCCAUCUGCCUGCCUGUCUCAGCUGGAAAUCUCCAUCAUCAGUCAGUGGACUGAUGGAUCAUGGCACUAAAACUCCUCAGUAGAAGGCAGCUGCAUUAUCUAAGCGGGGGAACAUGUUAAACAGGUACCAUUAUAAAAGGAAUGACUUCAGGUAAAAUAGAACAAUGAAGAGGCUGUCGUUUUGAAGUCAAAUCUGAAUUUCUCACCUGGCUCUAUUACUUUCUUACUGUGUAAUGCUGGCUUGAUGCAGAUGAGCAGGUAACCAUGGAAGUCGUGAGCUGAGGCUGCAGAGUCUAGAGCCAGAGUGUGGAAUAAACUUGGGUCUCAAAUCACCCCUGGAGCAAAGCACCCAUCUAAUCAGGAACUUCUACUUUCAACUUUACAUGCGUGAGAAAUGAACUUCUAUCAUGUUAGAGAAAUCCUUACACGGCGCCCUUGAGAGCUUUCAUACUGCAAGUCAUCCAUUUUCCUCCCCUCAAACCUGGCAUCGGAGUUUAUUGAAACAAAGCAAAAUAAAACAAAUAGACAA